GGUUUAAUUCGAUGAUACGCGAGGUAACCUUACCUGGGCUUAAAUGUAGAGUGCAUUUUUUAGAGAUAGAAAUUCCCUUCGGGGCUUUCUGCAAGGUGCUGCAUGGUUGUCGUCAGCUCGUGCCGUGAGGUGUCGGGUUAAGUCCCAUAACGAGCGCAACCCUUAUCGUUAGUUGCCAGCUGGUAAAGCAGGGGACUCUAGCGAAACUGCCACCGUAAGGUGAGAGGAAGGUGGGGAUGACGUCAAAUCAGCACGGCCCUUAUGUCCAGGGCUACACACGUGUUACAAUGGCCGGCACAGAGGGCAGCUACCUGGUGACAGGAUGCUAAUCUCGAAAACCGGUCUCAGUUCGGAUCGAAGUCUGCAACUCGACUUCGUGAAGCUGGAUUCGCUAGUAAUCGCGCAUCAGCCAUGGCGCGGUGAAUACGUUCCCGGGCCUU
rnacentral:rRNA from 1 species